rnacentral:sRNA from 1 species
AUUCCAUACAGCUGAUUCUUGGACUGCGACAUAAUUUAAGGCUCUAAGAAGGUGGCUGCACUUGGGUCUCUUACAAAGCAUCAUAUUUUCAAUGAGGAGACCAUUGAAGUGAUGUCAUGUGGCUGUUCAUCUGACCUGAGGUUUCACAUGUGGCUAGGGCUGAGAAUGCUGAAAAACAUUAUAGCAGUAGCUCUUCUGAUGCUAGGAAAGAAUGAAAAGAAAGCCCCUGCCCCUCCAAUGGAGCCUGAAGUCCCCGAGAUGUCUCAAAGCAAAACUGAACAUAUGAAAACUCCAGAAGAGGAGCUGCAGCCAGAAAGCUCUCCUGCUGAAACUUCAGCCUGCAAAGAUCCUCUGAAACCUUUAAAGAUCAGGCCAGUCUCCCAGCCCUUCAUGAAUCCAGCUGUGAAGAACGAGGCUGAGGAAUGUGAGAGGUGGAUAGACAGGUUCAGGAAGCUGGAAAAUGCCCUCUACCUGUGUGAUCUGAGUAACACAGGAGUUCUGGAGAAGGAACGAGCCAGACGCCUCAUUCACAACUACAAUCUCAUUUACAACCUGUCCCUGAGCCCUCAGAAAAUCGACCAGGCCUUGCGCAGAUUCCGUUCGGGAGAAAAUAUGCUCUUGGAGCCAGCACUGCGGUACUUAAAGGAGCUAUGAUAACAAGCCCAUAUUGUGAGAACAGAUGUUUCCCUUAUCUCCCUUUUUACCCAGACACAUGUUUCUCCCCAGCCUGAGUGUCGUGGCGGAGGCAUUGUCAGAGUGGAGGCCGAUGCAGCUAUUGUAGAUGCUUUUGAUUUGGACUUAGUUUCUGGCUAUGAUGCUCGCUCAUAAGCAGCUCAAAGUGAUCAGAGGAAACCUAGUUUUAACUUUUGAUGUGGCAAGAACCCAGCUAUUUAGAAUCUCCUUCUGUUUUAAUAAAACGUAUUAUUAAUAUUACAUGUUUGAUUUUUUCCUACAUUGCUAAUCAAACUAUGUUGUUUCAAACCCCACAAUUCCACAUAGUAAAAAAUACAUUACAUGUUGCCACUUCCCCACAGUGCCCGGAACCUAGUAGACCUAUGAACAUCGUUUUUGGAUAGGUAAAUCAUCCCUUCUCCUGGUCAUUAUUCUAGGAAGGAUUUCCACACCAUAAGAAAAAUAAAAGUAUUACCAAUACACUAUCUUAAUCUUAAGCGUAGAAGAACCAUUUCAAGUGAGGUUUUCUGAACAAGUCCAAUAUUUUCUGCAGUACAAAACUAAACAACAUUACACUGUCUCCAGGGGUAUUUUCCAAAAGUCCCAGAUAGAAGUUUUGAGGAAGGACUCCUUGGGACAAAGGGUUUUGGGAAUAGGUAACAUCCUCUGCUCUGCCUGGACAGGAAAACCAGGUGGAACUUUCCAUCGGUUCCCAUAGUUCUUCUGUUCUUAACAUGCCCCCUGACUUUGCACCACUCACAUAGCACACAGUUACACAUGUAUUACACCAUACACGUAGCAUGAGCUCAUUGAAGAAACACUGGCCUGGAGCUUCAGAGAUAAUAUGCUCCCAGCACCAUCACUAAUACUGGGUGAUCAGGGUACUGAGUUUCCAAUCUGUGUGCCAGACAAAAUGAACAAGUUAGGUCAAAGGGAAAAUCAAACAGAAAGGCCUCUGAGCAUCCCUUUCUAUCCAUUUUAUAAAAUGAGGUGCUUCAUGUACUCUUACAGACAAGGCCUUAAGAACAAAUCUAUUUGGAUCCACUAAAAUAAAUGCUCUCUAAGGGUCUUCUAGUCUGACCUGCUUUGGUUUUUAUAAUCCUUGAGUUGUCCAGAAAAAUGACUCUUGAAACCGACUGACCACCCUUUCUAGAACCCUUGGACUUUCUAGCUGCCUUUUAGGUCAAAAGAGCAAGCAAAUAGACACGGCUUUCUCAUUCUAACAAAAUGCCAAGUAAGGACAAUUAGAAUAGUAGGUCAAAAAUUUAAUAUGCCUUGAGCAACUAUUGUGUUUGAAGAACCUGACGUAUUUUGUUUGGUCUAUCUCUGACAAUUCAAUAAGAUAGGUUUCACAGCUCUGUUUCACAGAUGAGGAAAUAGGCUCAGAGAUGUGAGGACAAGAAAGCUGUUCGGUUGUGCCAGUUAAUAUCUGCCAGAAGGUUCGUGCUUCCUGUGAAGGACUGGUCAAAUGAUACUGAGAAGGUCUCACUUUACCCUUCAUCUCUGGGACUGCUGAACAUUCAAGCUUCCAAAGAACUUUGAACAAUGGUCUAUGUGAAAUGGUAUAGGGAGGUCAGGCCACUACUACACGCUGUGUCAUUGUGAACUUCUAAUAACCACUGUGUUGGGAAAGUCUGGUGUCAGUCUUGACCAGUGCCCUCCAAAAAAAACCUUCCUAAAUGGAUGUCUGUGGACAGUGGACUGGUUAUCCUUCAGUGUGCUCUGGAGAUGCUUGGUGUCAAUUGAGUAUGUCCCAACUCCCCCAAAAACCUCAGGCUUUAAGGAUGGAAAGGGCACAGAAUGACAGAGGCAGGUUCUCAUCAGCUGGCCAGACUCUUUUCCAGCUGUGUGGCCCUGAACAAGUCACUACUUACCCGAGAGCAUCAUUCAUAUUAAAUGAGAUAAGAUAAUGCAUACAAAUUGCCCAGCACUAUGCCUGGCACAUAGACAUGCUCCAUAAGGGAAACUAGCUUAUUUUAGUCUUAUACAGGAUUUCAUUUUACCCCAUCCAAUGGGCCAAAUGGUUGAAUGCCUUUUCCAGGUACAGACAUUUUCCAAGCCCACAGAUGGUUCACCGACUGUGUGGUCCUGGAGGGCACAGAAUAUGUGUUCCACAUUCCUGUCUCUCAUUCUCUGUCCUGUACUUACUCCUCAAAGUAAACCACAAGGUUGGCAUUACCAUGCCCAUUGUACAGGGGAGAAACAGAGGCUCGGGGUAGUGUAUGUACCUGCCUAAGGACUUAUAGCUGUGAGUGACUGAGCCAGGAUUAGAACCCAGUCUUGCAUAACUCCAAGUUCCUCAAUGCUGUUGGCCACAGUUAGAGCAAAUAACCCAUACAAUUCUCUUU